AUUUAAUCCAUUUUUUCUUGUGGGUAUUCACAGGUACAGAGUGUUGUGAGGGUACUCUCUUCCUUAACCUUGACAGAUGAAGAUUUGGACAAGCUGGGGGAGAUAUGAGGAGUGAUGAAGGAGAUGCAUAAACUGUAGCUAGCUGCAUGAAGGAGCUAUAUAGUGAUGAACAAGCUAUAUGAAGGAGUGAUGAAGGAGAUACAUACACUGUAUGUACAAAAGGGAAGAUGCUUUUAUCUGCACGUCUUCAAAAGAAUUCAAGCUUGCAUUUUCGGAGUUUGAUGACUGAUGUUAAUAUGUUCAAACACAUAUCUUAGGUUUGUAAUGAAUGUAAUGGCUUUACCACAUUGAUCUUAUAUACUUUUGUUUUUAUUAAUGAUAAUACAAAAUAUUCUUUAAACAAUGCUCAA